rnacentral:rRNA from 1 species
UACAGAGGUGGCAAGCGUUGUUCGGAAUUACUGGGCGUAAAGGGCGCGUAGGCGGCCUUCUAAGUCAGACGUGAAAUCCCCCGGCUUAACCUGGGAACUGCGUCUGAUACUGGAGGGCUUGAGUAUGGGAGAGGGAUGUAGAAUUCCAGGUGUAGCGGUGAAAUGCGCAGAUAUCAGGAGGAACACCGGUGGCGAAGGCGGGUCUCUGGGCCGAUACUGACACUGAGGAGCGAAAGCGUGGGGAGCGAACAGG